AAGCAAGCAUAGUACCAGGUCUCUCCUGUCUGUAAGCUGGUCGGUCAUAGUUACAGCGUGUGUUAAGCUGUUGUAAAUAUCGUCUACCAUGGCAGUUGUCUCCUCUUUAAGUGUUUACUUGAUUAGCAUCUUCUUGAUUAGCAGUGGGAUGGGGGUUCCACUUGCAAGAUAUGGCUAUCCAUCAUCUAGUGACGAUGCUCUGGACCAAUACUGGUCCAACCUUGGAUACCUCAUUGAGCCAAGGGCAAACAAGAUGUCUGCUCUCGCCCAAGCUUCCUCCUCGGCCUCCAUGUCCCAACAGGGAUCCAGUGAGGCAGAUGCACCACAAGGAAAGGGAGUAUCUAAUGUUGGAGAUUGGUCUUUUGCUUCAAGCGGAGGAAACACUCAAUCUCAGGACCAGACCGGCUGGAACAUGGGAGGAGAGUCUGAGAUGGCAGCUGUUUACCAGCAGGCUGACGGGUUUGAAGGCUCUGACAUGCAGGAGCUUCCACAAGAAGUUAGUGAGCCUUAUUCACCAAGUUUCAUUGUCCAGACCAGCAGUGGAUACAAACGGUCCAGACUGAGUGGCAUCGCAGACGAAUACUCCCUCAUCAAAGGUCUUGAGGAAUAUGGUAUUAAUCCUGAAGACUUCUAGAUGUCAAGCUCUACCAAGGAUCAGAUUUUGAAAUGUGGGCGGAAAACCUUUCCCUCGGCAACGUCCUGCAAAAAUGUCUUGCCUGUUUUCAAUAUUGUUCAACACAUAAAGUGAGAUGUAACUCA